rnacentral:rRNA from 1 species
UACGUAGGUGGCAAGCGUUGUCCGGAUUUAUUGGGCGUAAAGAGCGUGUAGGCGGCCAGGUAGGUCCGUUGUGAAAACUCGAGGCUCAACCUCGAGACGUCGAUGGAAACCAUCUGGCUAGAGUCCGGAAGAGGAGAGUGGAAUUCCUGGUGUAGCGGUGAAAUGCGCAGAUAUCAGGAGGAACACCGGUGGCGAAGGCAGUGAUCUGGGCCAGUACUGACGCUGAGGAGCGAAAGCGUGGGUAGCAAACAGG